UCACUCUUGUGGAUCUCUUAACUUGAGUUCUUCGGGUUUCUGUGAGGGAGCUCUCCAAUGGAUUGUUCGCUAGCAGGAAGAGAGAGAAAGAGCUCCGGAUUUGUCCCGUUUGAUUUCCGAUCUUCCCUCCGUCUAAGUCUCGCCGGAGCUUCUGUUUCCGUUUUUGUAACCCGAGAAGUUGUAUUGGCCCAUUACAAAGCCCAAUUGGGAUGAUUUUUAAUGAUUUUUUUUUUUCUCAAAUUGUAAAAGACUAGAUAUUAACCCGCGGUACACCACGGGUCUAUAAUUUUAUUAAAUAAUAAUAAAAUUAAUUUUUUUUAAGAUGAUCUAUAGAUAUAUGCUAUUGUUUUGUUUGAUUUAAAUGUAUGGUACACACGAUAUUUUAUAACUAAAGAUUUAAAAUUUGAAGUUUUAUUUGUUUUGUUAAUAUUAUUUGUUUAGUUUUGUUUAGUGUUUAAGAUUGUAUAGUUAUAUUUUGAUUGUUAAUUAUAGGAUUUCACCUGUAGUAUAUCAUACUGUAUUAAUAUCGACCCCAAAUCUGUCCGACCAUAUAACUCUGUCCCGUGAAAUCUACAUCAUUUUGUCAUUUUCCAAUAAAAUUCAAAUAUUUCUAAUAUUCGAAACUUCAUUUAAUAUCGACCCAAAAUUCAUAAUAGUAUUUUGAUUGUUAUAUCUAAGAUUUCACCCGUAAUAUACCGUCCCGAUUAAUAUCUUUUGUAAAUAUUUAUAAUGUUUAAAUUUCUUAUAAAUUAUUAUAAAAUUCAACUAUUUAAUAUUUGAAACUUUAUAAAAUUCCUAAUAUUAUAAAUAUUUAAAACGUUUUAUAAAAAUAAACUUUUUUAAAUGUUUAAAUAAUUAUAAUAUUUUACUUUUAAUAAAGUUUAAAUGUUUAUUAAUUUGAAACUAUUUAAAAGUUUCAAUAAAAAAUAUUAGAAAACAUUAAACAUGAAAUACAUUGGAUAAGAAAAUAAAAUAUAUAUGAUGUGAUUGUUAACCAUAUAAAACAUGUAAUUGUUGUAAAAGGUUUUAAAAGAUUAGAAAAAUUACACUUACCAACCAAAACUCGGAUCCACAGGUUUUAGUAAAAGUAUAUAUCAUAAAAACAAUUAAGAUACAUAACAUUAGAAUAAUGAAAAUUAAGAAUAAGAACUUUAUUUUAUUAACAAAUUCAUUUCCUUUUUACGGUUAAGAAAAAGAUUUUAAUAGAAUGGACUUGUUAUGUUAGCCUAUAAAAGAAAAUCAUUUACAAACAUUAUGAGGAAACAUGAAAUUAUGAAAAUGUAAAAAAAUACUGGACAUUAAAAAAAAUUCGUAUCUGAAGAUAAGAAGAAGGACUAACUAACCUUUUAAUGCAUACCUUAUUUGAUAGUUUCUUUGGAGACGGAGUUGAUGAUGUCCAUAAUUUCCAAAGAUCUUAAAAUCGAAAGCUGCAACAUAAGAAAAGUAGGUGACAAUUAAUUUUUUAAAAGAAAACAAACGUGAAAUAUAAAAUGUACUAAGAACAUUGUUUAAAAGAAGCCAUAUAAAUCUCUAUUACGAAAACGUUUAGUAUUGUGGAUCAAUGGUUGAAAAGAUCUUUUUUUAUAUAGAUGAAUGAAAAGUACUCGAGAAGUUUAGGUUUGAUCUAAAAAUUAAAACAAUUUUGCAAAUAUUGGAAAAUUAAAUAUUUGAUUCCUAAUAUAUUCGAUUUUGUAUUAUCAACUGAAUAACGUCUAUAUGCAUGGUGGGAUUUAUGAAUGAGGAAAGCUAAUUAAAGAUAUUUCCAUUUGUUUUAGGAAGUUUGUUGAAUAAUAUCUAAACGAAACAAAAAAAAUCUUUUAAAGAUAUUUUAUGAGAAAUAAUAUAUUCGCCAAUUUGGGUUGGGGAUCAAGUAUAUGAAAAUCUCGUAAAUAUUAUAUGUUAUAUUUAUUACAUAUACUAAUUUUCACAUUGUAGUUAUUUAAAUCAAAGAAUUUAAUGAGUUAAUUAUGGAAUACAAAAUAUCUAUGUAAAUCAAAAAGUUUAAAGAACCAAUAGCGCUGGAAUUGAUUUUUUUGCUAUAACGAUUACUAAAACAUUUAAGUAAAUAAAGAUAUUUCGUUAUGAUUUUUCAGCAUAUUCGAAUUGUUGAUUAUUCCGAAAUUUAAGGAUGUUUAAGAAAUCAUGAUUGAUUUCCGAUUUCAUAAAUUUUGAUUAGAAUUAAAAAUAAAAGAUUUAGUAUUUAGAUAAGGAAUAUACUAUAAUAAGGAUUAUUAGUACUCAAAUAUAUUAGGAAUAUUCGUAUUGUUAGUUUAUUUAAUUCAAAAAUUAUAAUUUGCGGAUUUAAAGGAAGAUCUUCUCGAGAUUUUAGGCAUAUAAUCGAGAUUUUAGUAACAAACUGUGAUCACAUUAAAUUUUCGAAAGAUUUGUGUCGAAAUUGUUAGAAACAAAUUAGGAUAGAUAAUGUUUGGUUAGUAUCUUUUUAAUAUUUUCAAAUCUUUAGAAUUAAACUCAUUGACAUUAUAUUGUUGAAUUUAUUUUUUAAAAAUGACGNNNNNNNNNNNNNNNNNNNNNNNNNNNNNNNNNNNNNNNNNNNNNNNNNNNNNNNNNNNNNNNNNNNNNNNNNNNNNNNNNNNNNNNNNNNNNNNNNNNNCCCGGCUUCGGGUUGUCUGUUCCCUUGCGGAUAUCGUGGAGAAGAAUAACUAACUUUGAUUCCCCAGUCCGCACAAAAGGAAUGAACUCGGAACAGGGAUAUUUGGCGUCAUCAGAGAGAUUAUUUGAGCAGAAAAUGGUUGUUUUAGGAAGAGUAAAAGAAAGGGGUGAUGAGUGACGUUACCGACGGCGAAGCGGUGGGAGAAGCAUUGAGGAAGGAGAGGAAAUCAGAGACAAGGGAGCUCUUAUCCAUGGCUCACUCUUGUGGAUCUCUUAACUUGAGUUCUUCGGGUUUCUGUGAGGGAGCUCUCCAAUGGAUUGUUCGCUAGCAGGAAGAGAGAGAAAGAGCUCCGGAUUUGUCCCGUUUGAUUUCCGAUCUUCCAUCCGUCUAAGUCUCGCCGGAGCUUCUGUUUCCGUUUUUGUAACCCGAGAAGUUGUAUUGGCCCAUUACAAAGCCCAAUUGGGAUGAUUUUUAAUGAUUUUUUUUUUUUUCUCAAAUUGUAAAAG
rnacentral:lncRNA from 1 species